rnacentral:rRNA from 1 species
UACGUAGGGUGCAAGCGUUAAUCGGAAUUACUGGGCGUAAAGCGUGCGCAGGCGGUUCGGAAAGAGAGAUGUGAAAUCCCAGGGCUUAACCUUGGAACUGCAUUUUUAACUACCGAGCUAGAGUGUGUCAGAGGGAGGUGGAAUUCCGCGUGUAGCAGUGAAAUGCGUAGAUAUGCGGAGGAACACCGAUGGCGAAGGCAGCCUCCUGGGAUAACACUGACGCUCAUGCACGAAAGCGUGGGGAGCAAACAGG